AGAAGAAACUAACCAGGAUUCCCCUAGUAACGGCGAGCGAACCGGGAAGAGCCCAGCUUGAAAAUCGGAGGGCCUCGCCCCUCGAAUUGUAGUCUGGAGAAGCGUCCUCUGCAUCGGACCGGGCCCAAGUUCCCUGGAACGGGACGAGAGAAAGGGUGAGAUCCCCGUCGAGCCCGGACCCUGAUGCUCCACGAGGCGCUGUCGGCGAGUCGGGCUGUUUGGGAAUGCAGCCCUAAGCGGGUGGUAAAUUCCAUCCAAGGCUAAAUACCGGCGAGAGACCGAUAGCGAACAAGUACCGCGAGGGAAAGAUGAAAAGGACUUUGAAAAGAGAGUUAAAGAGUGCUUGAAAUUGCUGGGAGGGAAGCGAAUGGAAGCUGCGGGUGCGCCCCGGUUGGAUGCGGAACGGCGCUAGCUGGUCCGCCGCUCAACGCGGGGCGCUGGUCAGCGUGGGCCGUCGCGGCGGGACAAGAGCCGGCUUUCGUUGCCGGCCGAUGCCGUUGUGGCGGCCGAGGAACGAAGCGCGCGCCCUCCUGGGCGGGCCCCUCGGGGCACCUGCGCGCUCGGGACGCUGGCGCAUCGAGCUCUCCAUCCGACCCGUCUUGAAACACGGACCAAGGAGUCUAACAUGUAUGCGAGCCGGUGGGCGGCAAACCCAUUGAGGCGCAAGGAACCUGACAGGUGGGAUCCCCUUCCCGGGGGAGCACCAUCGACCGACCGUGAUCUUCUGUGAAAGGUUUGAGUGCGAGCAUGCCCGUUGGGACCCGAAAGAUGGUGAACUAUGCCUGAGCAGGGCGAAGCCAGAGGAAACUCUGGUGGAGGCUCGUAGCGAUACUGACGUGCAAAUCGUUCGUCAGACUUGGGUAUAGGGGCGAAAGACUAAUCGAACCAUCUAGUAGCUGGUUCCCUCCGAAGUUUCCCUCAGGAUAGCUGGAGCUCGUGCACUAGUUUUAUCAGGUAAAGCGAAUGAUUAGAGGCAUCGGGGGUGUAACACCCUCGACCUAUUCUCAAACUUUAAAUAGGUAAGAUGCCUGGGUUGCUCGGUUGAACCCCGGCGCGGAAU
rnacentral:rRNA from 1 species